ACUGUUAUGCCCACUCUGUGGAACAUUUCAGUACAGCACUACUUUUUUUUUUUUUCUUCAUUUAAAGUCAAAAUGCAAAAUGCCUUUUCCCCCCCCCAUUCUCAUCUUACAGCCACCUCAGUUGGCAGACAUUGGUUUAGAGAGAAGAGAUUGGACUUCUGGUGAAAUAAAGGACAAGUGCAAAAGUUCACUUGGUCAAAGUAAGCGUGGAGAAAAACCCAGUAUAGAGCACAAGUCUGCCAGGAGGACUUAAAAGUAAAUCUUAGAAGCUCUCAAGCAGCAAAUGAAACAGCAGGAAAAAAGUCAACAAUUAAAUUCAAUCUGUGAACCAGCAGCAGCAGAGGACAAUAGAAGGUGGUGUUGGACAGGCCAAAAAACUACCAGUGUUUCUCAUCCACUUAGAAUUUCAACAGUCAACCAAAAACAAUGGGGAGAAAGGAGCAUCAAGCAAAAUAAACAAUUGUAUUUCCCUUCAGACAAGGGACAGUCCUCUAUUUCACCUGCAGAAUUCAUUACUUCCAAUGUGAAGACCCUUCUUUCCACAGAAAGGAAUUAUCAAUUAUAUUUGCCUUUUAUAGUGUGAGGCAUCAGGAAUAAGAAAGAACUUUAUUUUUCCAAAGCCAAACAAGUUCUUUUUUAAAUCUGCAACUUCUCCAAGUUAAUACACACAAAGACUUAAGAGGAAUUCAUUCGUGUAACAGAGAAAGAGAUUACAGAUGCCACAAGGUGAAUAACCUUAUGACAGCACUCAAGUGCUUUCCAGCAGUGUUUUCUCACAACUUCUCUUUGGGUAACAUAAUUUGAAGUGAAAAACUGUUUUCUUCCUUUUGAAGUAGUACAGGCUGAAAUACAUUCAGGAGAAAGGAAGUAGCAUGCUCUGUAGAGCAAGGACUUUAUUCUUAUUCAGCCAAUGUUACUCAGUCAAAGUCUCAGAUAAAGACCAGUUUCACAGUAUUGCAAGACUGGUAGUAAAUUCUGUGACCAGCAUGGAGUCUAGCAACUACAGUCUUCAACUAACAGCAAGUCAUGUUCAAUUAUUCUGUGGUACUGUUCAGUUUACUCCGCAUAUCCACUUAAUCAGGAGAUAAAGUCUAGAUGAAAUCACUUGAAUCAUUGCCAACAUAAAAAUGCAGUGUAUUAAUCCCUUUUACUUUCAUUUCUCCAGUUCAAAAGAAGAUCUGGAAAAUCAAGUUGCUAGCAGUAAUCCUGCUGUGAAAAUAGAUCUGUAAAAGCAAGUGGGACACAGUUCCAGAGGAAAUCAAGUCUUAGAAUAUAAAGACAGGCAGGGAAAAAGCCAAGCCAAGGAAGGAGACAAACUGAAGGAGGUUCUGAAUCACAUCAGCUACCACUUGAAUUCUUGCUAUUGACACAACCCUCAUUCAUCUCUCUUGAGCCUGAUCCAAAGAUCACAUGGUAGGGGCACUUCAGUUCAGCAUCUGGAAUCCCUAAUUACAUUCUUGGUUUCAAAUAUGCUUGCCUACUGCCAGCUCCUCACUGCUAAAGGACCUGGGUCCAACCAUCACCCAGCAUCCUACAGUGCUGCCAUCAGUUUUCCACAACACUGUCCUGAACUAAGUCACAUGCCACUUAAGGCAGAAACCAAUUUAAAACAGAAGCACAUAUAAAUACAUAAAGAUACACAGACAACCCUACUAGCCAGUAUGUUUUCAAUUUUCCUAGUAUCAUUGGAUACCUCAGGCUUGAAGAGACCUCAGGAGGUUUCUAGUCUAAGCUUCUGCAAUUACAAUUACCUACAGCAUCUCAGCUCAAGGAGCUACAGGAAUCCCUACUGAAUUAGCAGAGGUAGUUAUGAAGGUAUGUGCCCUACCAGAGAGCUGACACAUUCAUUUAAAGUGGAUCAGGAACACACACUAGACACACUUUUAUCCAGACCUUAGACAAAACCAAUGGCUGAGACCUAAGUCAGAUUAAACACUGUUGUCUUCAUUAACAGUAUAAUUAAAAUUUCAAAUAGACAACUCCAUUUUUCCCAAUAUUUUAAUUCCAUGAUAGCAUACAAUAUCAGAAACCAGUCUUAUUCUUUACAAAAAUUCAGUUGUAAAACUUUUCCAUUCAUAUACAGAAGUUCAGGGACUUUCCCUCGUGCAAAAUUAGAAAAUUGCCCAGACAGCAUCUGAAAAGAAGCAGUCCACAAAAUUUUAACAUUAUUUCUGGGUAUUUAUGUAUCAAUGUAUAAAAAUACAAAAAAACAUGAGAGAAAAUUUACUUUAAGAUAUUUCUACACUUCUCUUCAUUUUUUUUACAUCAAGUGACAACAAUAUCUAUGUUCCAAGACUCAAAAUGAGGAAAGCAACACUUUUAUAAAAUGCAGGUAAUGUAAAAAUACUGAAAAAAAACCAAGAUAUGCAAGUAAUAUUCAGUCAGCCAAAUAUCAUAAGCUAUCACAAGUGUGCAGUGUAGAUUUAGGAAUGUGACACAAACACGUGAAAUACUUAAUGACAUUAAAUUUGGCACACCAGAAAUUUCCCAUAUAUAUAGUUUACCUGUCAAGUCUCAAGUGAAGUGGGCAAGCAUAAACUAAAUCACAAUUAUAACACAAGCUAUGCAAGAGUGGGAAAAAAAACCCACCCAGAACUAUACAGCUUAAAAAAGAUCUUUGAUUAAACAACCUGUUACUUCUUUCUGGAUAAAAUAAAAAUACUUUCCUACUUCAAAGCACAAAAUAAUCCUAGAGACAGCAAAUCUGAGGUGUUUCGUCCUACCAACACCCUACUUCAUAAUUGCCUAUUACUACUUUAUCAUCUCACUUAUGCCACCACAUAACAAGCCAAUCCAAAUAUUAAAAUCUGUGAGAGGGAUAAAGGAGUAAGAAAGGCAGGAAAAGAAUUAAAUCUAACACUAUAUGUUUAGCAUAAAAUUAAGUAUCUUUAUUUAAAGGCAUCUUUACAGAGCUGCUUACUUUUUUACUGCUCUGAAAACAGCACAUGAAGCAACAGAUCUAUUAUUUUAUCUGAAAUACCCUAAACAACCUUCAAAAUAUCUUCACUGAACAUAAGGAUAAAGAAUGUUGUGGUAUCCUUAGUCCUCCAGUACUAUUUUAAGAGACAAACACUUCCCUGUAAUUGCAGUCCAGACUCCCAAAGAGCCAUUUUUUUUCCUCUUUAAGAAUGUCCAUUUGUGGCUAUCAAUAAGCAUCAUAAAAACACAAGACAUUCAUGGGCUAUUUUAACCAAAUAGAUGGCAAAUUGUUUCCAGCUCCCACAGCCUGCUUACACAUUUAGGAUUUGAAUGCCUCUCCAAGACUUAAAUGGGCACUGAAAGAAGACAGCGACCCACAGCCCGUUUAUCCCAAAGGCUGGCAGCUCUAUUUCCAGCAAGGAACGGUGACUGGGUGCCUGCGGUGUGAGCUCUCUGUGAGCCCCCGCGGGCCCCGCGCACCACUAGAGGCCCUCGCAGCAGCUCCAUUUCCUGCACUCUGCUUUUAACUCUGCCUUCAAGACACACCCAGGGUCGCUCAGCUGCCUCACAGGUUGGAGCUGCAGGCAUCUGCAUACUUUGAUUUUUGUUAGGUAUUGCUUCACCAAGUUUCAGCUAAACGAACAGGUAAAUAGGUGGUGGGGUUUUUUUCCUUUUUACAUAUUAUUUGUACUGCUCUAACACCCAAAGCCUCCCAAAAGAGAUGCAUUAAUUCGUACUUUGAACUUUACAAACCACCUCAUGGAAGGCAGCUGGAGAGGAAAAAGAAAAAUUCUGAGAAGUGAAAAGAGUAUUGUCUUCCUGAGGUCUUAAAAUCCAGAAGUUUUCUGUAUGUGUUUACUAGGACAUCACAAGGAAGAAUCUGACAAGCCUCUUCAACAAGAAUGUUCCUACAGGACGUUAGCCCUCAGCAAAAGGGCUCUAUUCUUACGUAUUCUGAAAUAUCAUCUAUUUCUAGGGCUCUGAUUCUGUGCUAAUGAAGCUGAAAUACUUUGACAUGUCUUAAUUUACUUACGUUUUCAGUGUUCCAGACGUCAUUAGUUCCGUCACGAGAACAAUACACUUUUUUCCUUUGACUGUAGACUCCCAGGAAUCAUAGAACCUGACAAUAUUGGGAUGCUGAAGCCCUUUCAGCAUCCCAGCUUCCUCUUUAAAUCGUUGUCGCUCUGACUUGGACAG